GAUGAACGCUGGCGGCGUGCCUAAUACAUGCAAGUCGAGCGAACAGACGAGGAGCUUGCUCCUCUGACGUUAGCGGCGGACGGGUGAGUAACACGUGGAUAACCUACCUAUAAGACUGGGAUAACUUCGGGAAACCGGAGCUAAUACCGGAUAAUAUAUUGAACCGCAUGGUUCAAUAGUGAAAGACGGUUUUGCUGUCACUUAUAGAUGGAUCCGCGCCGCAUUAGCUAGUUGGUAAGGUAACAGCUUACCAAGGCAACGAUGCGUAGCCGACCUGAGAGGGUGAUCGGCCACACUGGAACUGAGACACGGUCCAGACUCCUACGGGAGGCAGCAGUAGGGAAUCUUCCGCAAUGGGCGAAAGCCUGACGGAGCAACGCCGCGUGAGUGAUGAGGGUCUUCGGAUCGUAAAACUCUGUUAUUAGGGAAGAACAAAUGUGUAAGUAACUAUGCACGUCUUGACGGUACCUAAUCAGAAAGCCACGGCUAGCUACGUG
rnacentral:rRNA from 1 species